GCAAUCGACCAUAGAACAUGGAGAACAGGGCUUCCCGUCCGCUCAGCCGUACUCAAGCCAUGUGUCGACGAGUUAGUAGUUGCGUCGGUGACGAGCAGCGAAUCUUCGUUGUUGAUUGUU
rfam:Exophiala xenobiotica strain CBS 118157 unplaced genomic scaffold supercont1.5, whole genome shotgun sequence.